GAUGAACGCUGGCGGCGUGCCUAAUACAUGCAAGUCGAGCGAAUGGAUUAAGAGCUUGCUCUUAUGAAGUUAGCGGCGGACGGGUGAGUAACACGUGGGUAACCUGCCCAUAAGACUGGGAUAACUCCGGGAAACCGGGGCUAAUACCGGAUAACAUUUUGAACCGCAUGGUUCGAAAUUGAAAGGCGGCUUCGGCUGUCACUUAUGGAUGGACCCGCGUCGCAUUAGCUAGUUGGUGAGGUAACGGCUAACCAAGGCAACGAUGCGUAGCCGACCUGAGAGGGUGAUCGGCCACACUGGGACUGAGACACGGCCCAGACGCCUACGGGAGGCAGCAGUAGGGAAUCUUCCGCAAUGGACGAAAGUCUGACGGAGCAACGCCGCGUGAGUGAUGAAGGCUUUCGGGUCGUAAAACUCUGUUGUUAGGGAAGAACAAGUGCUAGUUGAAUAAGCUGGCACCUUGACGGUACCUAACCAGAAAGCCACGGCUAACUACGUGCCAGCAGCCGCAGUAA
rnacentral:rRNA from 1 species